rfam:Gloeophyllum trabeum ATCC 11539 unplaced genomic scaffold GLOTRscaffold_00010, whole genome shotgun sequence.
GGCGGACUAGCGUAAUGGUUAACGCGCCAGUUUCCGGUUUACCCUCACCUUUAGCUGGAGAUUCUGGGUUCGAGCCCCAUGCCCGUCG